rnacentral:lncRNA from 1 species
CAACUUGAAGAAUGGAUAAGAGUUUACUUAAGGGUGGGGGCACUAUCAGACUUGUUCUACAGGAGCUUCAGAUAUAUACCUGUCGUGGUUUGGCUCUGUGUUUCCACCCAAAUCUCAUGUCAGAUUGUAAUCCCCACACGUUGAAGGAGGGGCCUGGUGGGAGGUGAUUGAAUCACGGGAGCAGACUUGUCCCUUGCUUUUCUAGCGAUGGAGUUCUCAGGAGAUCUGGUUGUUUGAAAGUGCGUGGCACUUUCCCCUUUCCUGUCUCUCUCUCUCUCCUGUUCUGCCAUGGUAAGACGUGUUUGCUUCCCCAUAGCCUUCCACCAUGACUGUAAAUUUCCUGAGCCCUCCCAGCCAUGCUUUCUGUACAGCCUGUGGAACUGUGAGUCAAU